rnacentral:piRNA from 1 species
UAUGUAGAAUGAGCUGGCCAGGAACUCA